rnacentral:rRNA from 1 species
UGCCAGCCGCCGCGGUAAUACGGAGGGUCCGAGCGUUAUCCGGAAUCAUUGGGUUUAAAGGGUCCGUAGGUGGACAGAUAAGUCAGAGGUGAAAUCCUGCAGCUCAACUGUAGAAUUGCCUUUGAUACUGUUUGUCUUGAGUCAUUAUGAAGUGGUUGGAAUGUGUGGUGUAGCGGUGAAAUGCAUAGAUAUCACACAGAACACCGAUUGCGAAGGCAGAUCACUAAUAAUGUACUGACACUGAGGGACGAAAGCGUGGGGAGCGAACAGGAUUAGAUA